UCUUAAUAUAAUAACUUGUUGUAACAAUGAUUCACUUUCCUGAUUUCAGGAUUCAUUGUGUUUAAAGUUUCAGGAUCAACAGAUCAAUAUGACUCUUCACAGAUUGGCAAUGACACAUUUUCACAAAUUACAAAUGAUGAUGAAGUUGAAGAUCCAAAACAAGCAAGUAUAAACAGCGUGAAGCAACCUUCAACUACAAAAAAGAGCUCACAGAAAAGUCUUAAAGACUUACAAGCUGAAUAUUUCAAAAUCAAAAUUGAAAAUGAAAAAAGAAAUGCAGACUUUGGUUUUCCAGCAACUAAAUGAGACAUUACCUAAAGUUAAUUCAGUAUUAGAUUCAAUGGUAAAGAAACUUUUCUCUGAAGAAGAAUAAUGUUGUUUGAGGUUUAACUGUUGCUCGUUUUAUAUUUACCUUUUUGUGUAUAUUUUGGUUACAUUUUUGUUUUUUUAAAUGGUAGAUUUUUAUCAAAUUCUUGCUGGAGUAAAAUAUUUUCUCAAUAUUUUUGGGACUAGCUUGCAUACACAAAUAUUUAAAUAACCUACAUAAUAAUUAAUUAAUAGUAUGUACCCAUU